rnacentral:rRNA from 1 species
UCAUCAUGCCCCUUAUGACCUGGGCUACACACGUGCUACAAUGGCUGGUACAACGAGUCGCAAGCCGGUGACGGCAAGCUAAUCUCUUAAAGCCAGUCUCAGUUCGGAUUGUAGGCUGCAACUCGCCACAUGAAGUCGGAAUCGCUAGUAAUCGCGGAUCAGCACGCCGCGGUGAAUACGUUCCCGGGCCUUGUACACACCGCCCGUCACACCACGAGAGUUUGUAACACCCGAAGUCGGUGAGGUAACCGUAAGGAGCCAGCCGCCUAAGGUGGGAUAAAUGAUUGGGGUGAAGUCUUAACAAGGUAGCCGUAUCGGAA